AAAUAUUAGUUUAUAGAUAUUAAAAAUUUUUUUAAAUAAAGGCAAAGUAACUCAAUACAAGAUCAUCUGAUAGAGGGGAUGAAGAGUAACAUUUGAAGCAGUAAAGGCAGUAUCCAAAUUCCACCUGUGACUUAUCUCACCCUUGUAAAUCACCUGGGUAAAUCACAACCACUUAGUGCCCUGCACAACUCCCUCAGAUGGUAAGUGCCAGAGAAAAUGGAGAUCCAUAUUGUGAUGGCAAGAAGGAUGAGAAGUUCCUUCCUUGGAACAGAAGAUCUGCUUUAGGUUCUACAGACAUAGCUACAUUGCUCAGCACAGGAAACCCUAAAUGGAUCAUGAAGAAUUGCAUAGAAUUGAAAUGA
rnacentral:lncRNA from 1 species